rnacentral:rRNA from 1 species
CGGAACGGGUGAGUAAUGCGUGACCAACCUGCCCCAUGCUCCAGAAUAGCUCUUGGAAACGGGUGGUAAUGCUGGAUGCUCCAACUUGACGCAUGUCUUGUUGGGAAAGUGUUAGUGGCAUGGGAUGGGGUCGCGUCCUAUCAGCUUGUAGGCGGGGUAAUGGCCCACCUAGGCUUCGACGGGUAGCCGGCCUGAGAGGGCGGACGGCCACAUUGGGACUGAGAUACGGCCCAGACUCCUACGGGAGGCAGCAGGC